UAGACUCUGGCCCGGGUGGCGGAACUAGAGGUUGCUGGCUCGUUGGGACGAAGACGAGACUAACCCGUGUGUGGGUCUCCCUCGCGCAAGAGCUUCCAUUUCAGAGAGGGGACAAGCCUGGGGACCAAAUAGCGUUUGAGCUGCUCCGCUGUUGCGUUUUUCCCUAUACCUAGGAAAGCCCCUCACAAGGCAGAGUUCCUAUAUGCCUGAGGGCUGCAUUCCCUCAUGAGCAACUUCUGGAUGGAGGGGCACAAGUCAGUGAGGAAGAGACGAGAAGAACCUCACGUGAGUGAGGGCCAAGACAAAGGCUGUAAAGAAAGUACCCAGGAAAAUACAAUCCAAGGAAAUAACAGUGUGGAAAAUGGAAGCUGAUGCUAAUGCUGGAGGCUUGAAAUGGGACAAUAAG